rnacentral:sRNA from 1 species
GUGGCUGAAGCCAUACUAUUUUAUAGAAUUAAUGGAAAGCAGAAAAGACAUCACAAACCAAGAAGAACUUUGGAAAAUGAAGCCUAGGAUAAAUUUAGAAGAAGACGAUUAUUUGCAUAAGGACACGGGAGAGACCAGCAUGCUAAAAAGACCUGUGCUUUUGCAUUUGCACCAAACAGCCCAUGCUGAUGAAUUUGACUGCCCUUCAGAACUUCAGCACACACAGGAACUCUUUCCACAGUGGCACUUGCCAAUUAAAAUAGCUGCUAUUAUAGCAUCUCUGACUUUUCUUUACACUCUUCUGAGGGAAGUAAUUCACCCUUUAGCAACUUCCCAUCAACAAUAUUUUUAUAAAAUUCCAAUCCUGGUCAUCAACAAAGUCUUGCCAAUGGUUUCCAUCACUCUCUUGGCAUUGGUUUACCUGCCAGGUGUGAUAGCAGCAAUUGUCCAACUUCAUAAUGGAACCAAGUAUAAGAAGUUUCCACAUUGGUUGGAUAAGUGGAUGUUAACAAGAAAGCAGUUUGGGCUUCUCAGUUUCUUUUUUGCUGUACUGCAUGCAAUUUAUAGUCUGUCUUACCCAAUGAGGCGAUCCUACAGAUACAAGUUGCUAAACUGGGCAUAUCAACAGGUCCAACAAAAUAAAGAAGAUGCCUGGAUUGAGCAUGACGUUUGGAGAAUGGAGAUUUAUGUGUCUCUGGGAAUUGUGGGAUUGGCAAUACUGGCUCUGUUGGCUGUGACAUCUAUUCCAUCUGUGAGUGACUCUUUGACAUGGAGAGAAUUUCACUAUAUUCAGGUAAAUAAUAUAUAAAAUAACCCUAAGAGGUAAAUCUUCUUUUUGUGUUUAUGAUAUAGAAUAUGUUGACUUUACCCCAUAAAAAAUAACAAAUGUUUUUCAACAGCAAAGAUCUUAUACUUGUUCCAAUUAAUAAUGUGCUCUCCUGUUGUUUUCCCUAUUGCUUCUAAUUA